GACGAACGCUGGCGGCGUGCUUAACACAUGCAAGUCGAACGGAAAGGCCCUGCUUUUGUGGGGUGCUCGAGUGGCGAACUGGUGAGUAACACGUGAGUAACCUGCCCUUGACUUUGGGAUAACUUCAGGAAACUGGGGCUAAUACCGGAUAGGAGCUCCUGCUGCAUGGUGGGGGUUGGAAAGUUUCGGCGGUUGGGGAUGGACUCGCGGCUUAUCAGCUUGUUGGUGGGGUAGUGGCUUACCAAGGCUUUGACGGGUAGCCGGCCUGAGAGGGUGGCCGGCGACAAUGGGCCUGAGGGAGGGCCCAGAGUGCAAUGGUGGGCAGCAGUGGGAAAUAUGGCACAACGGGCGCAAGCCGGAGGCGGCAGCGCCCGGGGUGGAAUGACGGCUUUUGGGGUGAGAACCGCUUCCGCUUGUGACGAAGCGGGAGUGACGGUAACGGAUAAAGAAGCACCGGCUAACUACGUG
rnacentral:rRNA from 1 species